GAUGAACGCUGGCGGCGUGCCUAAUACAUGCAAGUCGAGCGAACGGACGAGAAGCUUGCUUCUCUGAUGUUAGCGGCGGACGGGUGAGUAACACGUGGAUAACCUACCUAUAAGACUGGGAUAACUUCGGGAAACCGGAGCUAAUACCGGAUGAUAUUUUGAACCGCAUGGUUCAAAAGUGAAAGACGGUCUUGCUGUCACUUAUAGAUGGAUCCGCGCUGCAUUAGCUAGUUGGUAAGGUAACGGCUUACCAAGGCAACGAUGCAUAGCCGACCUGAGAGGGUGAUCGGCCACACGAGAACUGAGACGCGGUCCAGACUCCUACGAGAGGCAGCAGUAGGGAAUCUUCCGCAAUGGGCGAAAGCCUGACGGAGCAACGCCGCGUGAGUGAUGAAGGUCUUCGGAUCGUAAAACUCUGUUAUUAGGGAAGAACAUAUGUGUAAGUAACUGUGCACAUCUUGACGGUACCUAAUCAGAAAGCAACGGCUAACUACGUG
rnacentral:rRNA from 1 species